CCUACGGGAGGCAGCAGUGGGGAAUAUUGGGCAAUGGGCGCAAGCCUGACCCAGCAACGCCGCGUGAAGGAAGAAGGCCCUCGGGUUGUAAACUUCUUGUGUCAGGGACGAAGCAGGUGACGGUAACUGACGAAUAAGCCACGGCUAACUACGUGCCAGCAGCCGCUGUAAUACGUAGGUGGCAAGCGUGAUACGGAUUUACUGGGUGUAAAGGGCGUGUAGGCGGGGAAGUAAGUCAGAUGUGAAAUUCCAGGAGUCAACCCUGGAACUGCAUUUGAAACUGUUUUUCUUGAGUGAUGGAGAGGCAGGCGGAAUUCCGUGUGUAGCGGUGAAAUGCGUAGAUAUACGGAGGAACACCAGUGGCGAAGGCGGCCUGCUGGACAUUAACUGACGCUGAGGCGCGAAAGCGUGGGGAGCAAACAGGAUUAGAUACCCCAGUAGUC
rnacentral:rRNA from 1 species